rnacentral:tRNA from 1 species
ACUUUAAUAGCCUAAAUUUAGGGCACAGCACUGAAGAUGCUGAGGUGACUAAGAGUCUUAAAGUA